rnacentral:rRNA from 2 species
AACAAGGAUUCCCUUAGUAACUGCGAGUGAAGAGGGAAAAGCUCAAAUUUAAAAUCUGACAGUGUUUUGCUGUCCGAGUUGUAACCUAGAGAAGUGUAACCUGUGCUGGACCAUGUACAAGUCUCCUGGAAUGGAGCAUCGCAGAGGGUGAGAAUCCCGUSUUUGACAUGGACUACCAGUGCAUUGUGGUUGUGCUCUCAACGAGUCGAGUUGUUUGGGAAUGCAGCUCUAAAUGGGUGGUAAAUUCCAUCUAAAGCUAAAUAUUGGCGAGAGACCGAUAGCGAACAAGUACCGUGAGGGAAAGAUGAAAAGAACUUUGGAAAGAGAGUUAAACAGUAUGUGAAAUUGUUGAAAGGGAAACGUUUGAAGUCAGUCAUGUUGGGUGGGGAUCAGCCUGGCAGAUUGUUGGGUGUACUUCCUGGUUGACGGGCCAACAUCAGUUUUGACUGCCAGAGAAAGGYGAAGGGAAUGUGGCACCUUUGGGUGUGUUAUAGCUCUUUGUCGUAUGUGGUGGUUGGGACUGAGGAAAGCAGUGCGCCGAAAGGCRGGGUUUCGACCACAUUCGCACUGAGGAUGUUGGCAUAAUGGCUUUAAGCGACCCGUCUUGAAACACGGACCAAGGAGUCUAACAUGCAUGCGAGUGUUUGGGUGGAAAACUCUUACGCGGAAUGAAAGUGAAAGUUGAGAACCCUGUCGUGGGGAGCAUCGACGCCCGGACCAGAACUUUUGGGACGGAUCUGCGGUAGAGCACGUAUGUUGGGACCCGAAAGAUGGUGAACUAUGCCUGAAUAGGGUGAAGCCAGAGGAAACUCUGGUGGAGGCUCGUAGCGAUUCUGACGUGCAAAUCGAUCGUCAAAUUUGGGUAUAGGGGCGAAAGACUAA